GUGCUCACUUCGGCAGCACAUAUACGAAACUUGGAACGAUACAGAGAUUAACAUGGCCCCUGAGCAAGGAUGACAUGCAAAUUCGUGAAGCGUUCCAUAUUAAA
rnacentral:snRNA from 1 species